UACGUAGGUGACCAGCGUUGUCCGGAUUUACUGGGCGUAAAGAGCGCGCAGGCGGUCGUUCAAGUCGAGUGUGAAAGCCCCCGGCUCAACUGGGGAGGGUCACUUGAUACUGAUCGACUCGAAGGCAGGAGAGGGAAGCGGAAUUCCCGGUGUAGUGGUGAAAUGCGUAGAUAUCGGGAGGAACACCAGUGGCGAAGGCGGCUUCCUGGCCUGUUCUUGACGCUGAGGCGGCGAAAGCUAGGGGAGCAAAGCGGGG
rnacentral:rRNA from 1 species